CCUACGGGAGGCAGCAGUGGGGAAUAUUGCACAAUGGGCGCAAGCCUGAUGCAGCCGUGUCGCGUGUAUGAAGAAGGCCUUCGGGUUGUAAAGUACUUUCAGCGAGGAGGAAGGCGUUGUGGUUAAUAACCGCAGCGAUUGACGUUACUCGCAGAAGAAGCACCGGCUAACUCCGUGCCAGCAGCCGCGGUAAU
rnacentral:rRNA from 1 species